AAAGUUAUAAUUUAUAUAAUAACCAAUUUUGUUUUUUUGUUUUGUUAGCUUCGCUUGGGGUAGCUAUCUCUGGGAUUUUACUUAUGUUGACCUUGAGGAUACAUGGAACAAAAUACAUAAUUAUUUAUCACUUUCUGAGAGUCGUCAAACUUUAAAGUACUCCGUCUCAGGAUUUACGGCUCCAAUAAGGAUAUGGAUAUAUGAGAUGAUUCCGGCUGUUCGUGCAUGUGGAUUUGUAUUGAGAAAAAAUAAAGACUUGCCUCGGAUCAAACGAUGGAGUGGAACAAAAAAAUUGAAAUGGGUUGACGUGAACAAGAUUUGGUCAAAGAUACAGGAGGGGCAACCACCAAGACAAAACAUGUUACCGGGUGAUGGUUGUGCAAGAUGAAGUGACGAAUAAAAACAAUACAACUGAAAAUGUUUUUGGUGAUAUUCAAGACGACAAGGU